ensembl:snRNA U7 U7 small nuclear RNA
UAGAAUUUACAGCUCUUUUAGAAUUUACCUAGCAGGCCUUCUGGUCUCUACUGGAAGGAUGCCACU